rnacentral:rRNA from 1 species
AGAGUUUGAUCCUGGCUCAGGAUGAACGCUAGCUACAGGCUUAACACAUGCAAGUCGAGGGGCAGCAUUAUCUUAGCUUGCUAAGAUAGAUGGCGACCGGCGCACGGGUGAGUAACACGUAUCCAACCUUCCGGUUACUCGGGGAUAGGCUUUCGAAAGAAAGAUUAAUACCCGAUGUUGCGUAUCUUUCUCCUGAAAGAUACGCCAAAGGAUUCCGGUAACCGAUGGGGAUGCGUUCCAUUAGGCAGUUGGCGGGGUAACGGCCCACCAAACCUUCGAUGGAUAGGGGUUCUGAGAGGAAGGUCCCCCACAUUGGAACUGAGACACGGUCCAAACUCCUACGGGAGGCAGCAGUGAGGAAUAUUGGUCAAUGGACGCAAGUCUGAACCAGCCAAGUAGCGUGAAGGAUGACUGCCCUCUGGGUUGUAAACUUCUUUUAUACGGGAAUAACAUGAGGUACGCGUACCUUAUUGCAUGUACCGUUAUGAAUAAGCAUCGGCUAACUCCGUGCCAGCAGCCGCGGUAAUACGGAGGAUGCGAGCGUUAUCCGGAUUUAUUGGGUUUAAAGGGAGCGUAGGUGGGAUAUUAAGUCAGCUGUGAAAGUUUGGGGCUCAACCUUAAAAUUGCAGUUGAUACUGGUUUCCUUGAGUACGGUACAGGUGGGCGGAAUUCGUGGUGUAGCGGUGAAAUGCUUAGAUAUCACGAAGAACUCCGAUCGCGAAGGCAGCUCACCGGGCCGGAACUGACACUGAUGCUCGAAAGUGCGGGUAUCAAACAGGAUUAGAUACCCUGGUAGUCCGCACAGUAAACGAUGAAUACUCGCUGUUUGCGAUACACUGUAAGCGGUCAAGCGAAAGCGUUAAGUAUUCCACCUGGGGAGUACGCCGGCAACGGUGAAACUCAAAGGAAUUGACGG